rnacentral:rRNA from 1 species
UCCGGUGGUCAUGGCGAGGGGGAUCCACCUCUUCCCUUUCCGAACAGAGUCGUUAAGCCCCUCAGCGCCGAUGGUACUUGGUGGGAAACCGCCCGGGAGAGUAGGACGCCGCCGGAA